CGCGUAGGUGGUUUGAUAAGCGAGAUGUGAAAGCCCCGGGCUUAACCUGGGAACGGCAUUUCGAACUGUCAGGCUAGAGUAUGGUAGAGGAGUGUGGAAUUUCCUGUGUAGCGGUGAAAUGCGUAGAUAUAGGAAGGAAUACCAGUGGCGAAGGCGGCUUUCUGGACCGAUACUGACGCUGAGAUGCGAAAGCGUGGGGAGCAAACA
rnacentral:rRNA from 1 species